GAGGAAAAGAGAGAAAGAAAGAAAGAAACCAGCCAGUUUAAAUUCUUGUUUUCACCUCCAUUUCUUGUGAUUUAUUAUACAAACAUAAAAUAACUUGCUCUUGUAAGAAAAGCUUUUUGUUUUCCACAGUAUGACUUCAAGUGAACAGUAUCUUUAAAAAUCUCAUUCAGAGGAAGAAAAGUCAAGACACCGUUACUCUCUGUUUAUAGAAACUGUUUCACGCGUGGUAAGCAGGAUUCAUUGCAUGAUUCUUUUGGGGAAAACGAGGCUACUGCAUCUGGUUAGCUCACUGCACAGCAGUGUACCACACCAGUAGCGGCUGAUAUGGAUGUUGAAAAGCCAGUGGGGAUACAUGAAAAAAUGUCUCAACCUGUGAAAGAUGAAUUCAAAACCAUCUUUAGAGGAUACACCUGAAGCAGUGGCGUGAUGGAGUCAUUGAACCAAGAAGAAUAGAGUCCCUCUACCAACAGUGACUCAGAGAAAGGAAUCAGUUGGUUGUGGGAAAAGAAUUCGUGAGCUCUCAGCUUCCUCCUUCCUGGAGACUGACUGCAGCUUUCUCCUACCUGGCUAUGUUGUCUCUUGACUACAUCGGUUACUGCUGAGACACUUCGAGUUUAUGUACCUGAUCCACCAGUGCUUUGCUUUGUUAACUGUAAAGAGAAUAACAUUCAUGUUUAUGUUAAUGAUUCUCAAUUUAAUUAGAGUCAGAUUAAUAAUCACCUUACAGGAAUAUGGUCACUUGGGGUAUGGAUAUUUAUGCUUUGCAUGAUGAAAUAUUCACUAUUGAGCACUCAAAGUUAGAUGAAUUACCCUUUUCCAAUGCUGUGCAAAACCUAGCAAAGAUAUUUGGUCAUUAUUUUUCUGUCUGUAAUUGGAUUCUCAAGUUGUAGUCCAUAAGAAAGUCUCUGUGAGUUUUGUUAUUGGUUAUACUAAGAAGUAAAAUAGCUUUAAGAAUCAUUUGUUACUACAUGUCUGCUUUGAAGAAUGGCUUGCAUAACCUGAAAUUUAAAAAAACAUAAAUAAAUAAGGAGGAACUACAGGGAGUCAGGGAGUUGACCUGGUCUACCUUCCUUCACCAGCAUGUUUUAGGUCUUUCCUGUUGGAGUUUGUGGAUACUGGGGUACUGUAUGCCUUUCAAUCACUAAGAAACCAAGGCACCCCUUCAGGCAGUACAGCAUUCAGCCCAUCUGUAUAUCUCUGCAUUCUGUAGAGUCAGAAAAACUUACAGAAGAUAGGCUAGACAAUUAGUCUUAGAAAUUAACCUUGUGUACCCUGUUUAGAUUGCAAACUCCAUUCUAUUCUGACAAAUAAAACUGUAGUUUUCUUGGC